rfam:Schistosoma margrebowiei strain Zambia genome assembly, scaffold: SMRZ_scaffold0000688
AUCCAGCCGACGAGUCCCAAGCAGGAUGAAACGCGCGUCCUGGAU